rnacentral:rRNA from 1 species
UACGAAGGGGGCUAGCGUUGUUCGGAAUUACUGGGCGUAAAGCGUGCGCAGGCGGUUUUGUAAGUCUGUCGUGAAAGCCCCGGGCUCAACCUGGGAAUUGCGAUGGAGACUGCAAGGCUUGAAUCUGGCAGAGGGGGGUAGAAUUCCACGUGUAGCAGUGAAAUGCGUAGAGAUGUGGAGGAACACCGAUGGCGAAGGCAGCCCCCUGGGUCAAGAUUGACGCUCAUGCACGAAAGCGUGGGGAGCAAAAGGG